rnacentral:rRNA from 1 species
AUUGAACGCUGGCGGCAGGCCUAACACAUGCAAGUCGAACGGUAGCACAGAGAGCUUGCUCUCGGGUGACGAGUGGCGGACGGGUGAGUAAUGUCUGGGAAACUGCCUGAUGGAGGGGGAUAACUACUGGAAACGGUAGCUAAUACCGCAUAACGUCGCAAGACCAAAGAGGGGGACCUUCGGGCCUCUUGCCAUCAGAUGUGCCCAGAUGGGAUUAGCUAGUAGGUGGGGUAACGGCUCACCUAGGCGACGAUCCCUAGCUGGUCUGAGAGGAUGACCAGCCACACUGGAACUGAGACACGGUCCAGACUCCUACGGGAGGCAGCAGUGGGGAAUAUUGCACAAUGGGCGCAAGCCUGAUGCAGCCAUGCCGCGUGUAUGAAGAAGGCCUUCGGGCUGUAAAGUACUUUCAGCGGGGAGGAAGGCGAUAAGGUUAAUAACCUUGUCGAUUGACGUUACCCGCAGAAGAAGCACCGGCUAACUCCGUG